UAGCCACGGUAAUACCAGCACCCCGAGUGGUCGGGACGAUUAUUGGGCCUAAAGCAUCCGUAGCCGGUUCUACAAGUCUUCCGUUAAAUCCAUCUGCUUAACAGAUGGGGCUGCGGAGGAUACUAUGGAGCUAGGAGGCGGGAGAGGCAAGCGGUACUUAGUGGGUAGGGUAAAUCCGUUGAUCCACUGAAGACCACCAGUGGCGAAGGC
rnacentral:rRNA from 1 species